UCUCCUUAUAUACAAGUCUGGCC
rnacentral:siRNA from 1 species